CCCCCCCAUGUAAGAGAACAUCGGGGACGCCCCACACUUGGGGGUCUGCCCCACACCUGGAGGUCCCACCCCACACUUGUGGGUCUGCCCCAUAGAUCCAGAGCUUGCCCCAUAGCUAUGUACCCACCCCAUAAGCCCAUUAGGACCCCAUGUAACAGCCCAACAGUUACGGGACCCCCACUUGUGGGUCUGCCCCACACUUGGGGGUCCCACCCCACACUUGUGGGUCUGCCCCAUAGACCUGGAGCCCCUUCCCCCCUAAAUUCCUUAGGAACUCAUGUAACAGCCCAGCAGUUAUGGGACCCCCACUUGUGGGUCUGCCCCACACUUGGGGGUCCCGGCCCCACACUUGUGGGUCUGCCCCAUAGAUCUGGAGCCCGCCCCAUAGCCAUGUACACCCCCCCAUAAGCCCAUUAGGACCCCAUGUAACAGCCCAACAGUUACGGGACCCCCACUUAUAGGUCCUGCCCCACACUUGGGGGUCUGCCCCAUAGACCUGGAACCCCCCUCCUCCCCCCUAAGUUCAUUAGGACCCCCACGUAACAGCCCAGCAGUUACGGGACCCCCACUUAUAGGUCCUGCCCCACACUUGGGGGUCCCGGCCCCACACUUGUGGGUCUGCCCCA
rnacentral:lncRNA from 1 species